UACAGAGGUCCCAAGCGUUGUUCGGAUUCACUGGGCGUAAAGGGUGCGUAGGUGGUGAGGUAAGUCGGAUGUGAAAUCUCCAAGCUCAACUUGGAACUGCAUUGGAAACUACCUUGCUAGAGGAUUAAGGGGGGAUUGGAAUACUUGGUGUAGCAAUGAAAUGCGUAGAUAUCAAGUGGAACACCAGUGGCGAAGGCGAAUCCCUGGAAAAUACCUGACACUGAGGCACGAAAGCUAGGGGAGCAAACAGG
rnacentral:rRNA from 1 species